AGUUUGAUCAUGGCUCAGAUUGAACGCUGGCGGAAUGCUUUACACAUGCAAGUCGAACGGCAGCACGGGGCAACCUGGUGGCGAGUGGCGAACGGGUGAGUAAUACAUCGGAACGUGCCCAAUCGUGGGGAUAACGUAGCGAAAGUUACGCUAAUACCGCAUACGAUCUACGGAUGAAAGCGGGGGAUCGCAAGACCUCGCGCGAGUGGAGCGGCCGAUGUCAGAUUAGGUAGUUGGUGGGGUAAAGGCUCACCAAGCCAACGAUCUGUAGCUGGUCUGAGAGGACGACCAGCCACACUGGAACUGAGACACGGUCCAGACUCCUACGGGAGGCAGCAGUGGGGAAUUUUGGACAAUGGGCGCAAGCCUGAUCCAGCCAUUCCGCGUGCAGGAUGAAGGCCUUCGGGUUGUAAACUGCUUUUGUACGGAACGAAACGGCGAGCUCUAAUACAGUUUGCUAAUGACGGUACCGUAAGAAUAAGCACCGGCUAACUACGUG
rnacentral:rRNA from 1 species